AUGGGGGUAGUGCUACAACCAGCGACGUUGGAAGCUACAACCGGCUUUGGCGAAAGCUGCAUCCAAAGAGUAGAAAGCUACAACCAGUGCACCGGCGGAAGCUGGAACCAGAGACAAGAAAAGCUACAACCAUCAUCCGGAUUUGCUACAACGGAUGCGGCGACAGCACCAACCACCGGAGCUGCACUCGCGAGCAAUGACUCCACAGUGGCGACCCCUUUUGCUGGAACCAUCACCAGCUUUCGCUACUACAGGCAGGAAAUUUGCUACAUCUAUCAUAAAGGGAGCUGCAUGGUGCUCGACCGACAGAUCUUUUUUGCUGAAACCGACUACUAG
rnacentral:rRNA from 1 species